rnacentral:rRNA from 1 species
AGAGUUUGAUCCUGGCUCAGAACGAACGCUGGCGGCGUGGAUAAGACAUGCAAGUCGAGCGCUGAUUGCGGGGUAGCAAUAUUCCGCAGUUGGAGCGGCGCAAGGGUGCGUAACACGUGGGUAAUCUGCCAUGAAGUUUGGGAUAACUUGCUGAAAGGCGAGCUAAUACCGGAUGUGAAGUUUGGGAGGCAUCUUCCGACCUUCAAAGCUGGGGACCGUAAGGCCUGGCGCUUCAUGAUGAGCCCGCGGCCUAUCAGCUAGUUGACAAGGUAACGGCUUACCAAGGCGAAGACGGGUAGCUGGUCUGAGAGGACGACCAGCCACACUGGAACUGAGACACGGUCCAGACACCUACGGGUGGCAGCAGUCGAGAAUUUUUCACAAUGGGCGCAAGCCUGAUGGAGCGACGCCGCGUGGGGGAUGAAUGGCUUCGGCCCGUAAACCCCUGUCAUUUGCGAACAAUUCGCUUCACCUAACACGUGGAGCGUUGAUAGUAGCGAAAGAGGAAGGGACGGCUAACUCUGUGCCAGCAGCCGCGGUAAUACAGAGGUCCCAAGCGUUGUUCGGAUUCACUGGGCGUAAAGGGUGCGUAGGUGGCGGAGUAAGUCGGAUGUGAAAGCUCGGAGCUCAACUCCGAAAUGGCAUUGGAAACUGCUCCGCUAGAGGGUUGGAGGGGGGACUGGAAUACUUGGUGUAGCAGUGAAAUGCGUAGAUAUCAAGUGGAACACCAGUGGCGAAGGCGAGUCCCUGGACAACUCCUGACACUGAGGCACGAAAGCUAGGGGAGCAAACAGGAUUAGAUACCCUGGUAGUCCUAGCCGUAAACGGUGCACGUUUGCUGUAAGAGGAAUCGACCCCUUUUGUGGCGUAGCCAACGCGUUAAACGUGCCGCCUGGGAAGUACGGUCGCAAGAUUAAAACUCAAAGAAAUUGAC